rnacentral:rRNA from 1 species
GAUGAACGCUGGCGGCGUGCCUAAUACAUGCAAGUAGAACGCUGAAGGAGGAGCUUGCUCUUCUGGAUGAGUUGCGAACGGGUGAGUAACGCGUAGGUAACCUGCCUGGUAGCGGGGGAUAACUAUUGGAAACGAUAGCUAAUACCGCAUGACAACAGUUAUUGCAUGAUAACUGUUUAAAAGGGGCAACUGCUCCACUACCAGAUGGACCUGCGUUGUAUUAGCUAGUUGGUGAGGUAACGGCUCACCAAGGCGACGAUACAUAGCCGACCUGAGAGGGUGAUCGGCCACACUGGGACUGAGACACGGCCCAGACUCCUACGGGAGGCAGCAGUAGGGAAUCUUCGGCAAUGGACGGAAGUCUGACCGAGCAACGCCGCGUGAGAGAAGAAGGUUUUCGGAUCGUAAAGCUCUGUUGUAAGAGAAGAACGAGUGUGAGAGUGGAAAGUUCACACUGUGACGGUAUCUUAACAGAAAGGGACGGCUAACUACGUG